AUUAAUUAAUUUUAUCCUUUAAUCAAGAUAAUGAAAAUUUACUUGGGAAUUCAUUUGGGUGUUUUUAUACGCCAGCGGGAAUAAAAACGGAGAGAAGACUGAGAGAAGGCGGAAAACCGGAGGGACGAGAAGAGCACAAUGAAAAAGAGAAGCGAAGCAAACAGG